rnacentral:rRNA from 1 species
GUGGGGAAUAUUGGACAAUGGGCGCAAGCCUGAUCCAGCCAUGCCGCGUGAGUGAUGAAGGCCUUAGGGUUGUAAGCUCUUUCAGUGGGGACGAUAAUGACGGUACCCACAGAAGAAGCCCCGGCUAACUUCGUGCCAGCAGCCGCGGUAAUACGAAGGGGGCUAGCGUUGUUCGGAUUUACUGGGCGUAAAGCGCACGUAGGCGGAUCGUUAAGUCGGGGGUGAAAUCCUGGAGCUCAACUCCAGAACUGCCUUCGAUACUGGCGAUCUUGAGUCCGGAAGAGGUGAGUGGAACUCCUAGUGUAGAGGUGGAAUUCGUAGAUAUUAGGAAGAACACCAGUGGCGAAGGCGGCUCACUGGUCCGGUACUGACGCUGAGGUGCGAAAGCGUGGGGAGCAAACAGGAUUAGAUACCCGGGUAGUCC